AUGGGCUUGCAGCGCGAAAGGCAGAGCCUCUGCAGGCCCCGCGCCCGGGCCAACUCCGCGGCCGCCGCGUCCCCGAGGUCGACCCCAUUGGAGAGGUCGAGGUCAGCGAGGCCGGGGCAGGCGGCGACGAGCGCGGCGAGGCCGGGCGCCCCGAAGCCGCGGGAGCGGGAGAGGUCGACGGCGCGGAGGGAAGGCAUGGGCGCGGAGGAGAGAGCGGCGAGGGCCGCGCCGGGGACGCGCGGGCAGAGGGUGAGGUCCAGGCGGACGGCGGUGGGGUAGCGGGCGAGCGCGGCGCGGAGGAGGUCGGCGCGGUACGGGCGGAGCACGCGGCGGUGGCGCGACUCGGCGGCGUGGCAGGCGCGGGAGGCGAGCGCGAAGGACUUGAGCGCGCGCGGAUCGGCGGCCGCCACCCGGUCCAGGACCAAGAAAAGAAGCUCGUCGGCCAGCGAGUCGAUCGGCGCGACCGCAACCGGAACCGCGGCAGAGCAGACGCGUCGGCGCUUGUGGAGGUGGCCGUGGAUCGCCGUGGCCAUGACGGGCAAGGCAGGUUGGCAGUUGGUUGUCCGCUGCGACACCAAGAACGGACGGAGGGAGUAG
rnacentral:rRNA from 1 species